CAGGAAACUGUAGCAGAUUUACUAAAAAACAAAGAUCAAAAGGCAUGGCUAAGUAUGGGUUUCUCGUUCUUUCCAAUGCUUUGGUGGCAUUUACAAUUGGCCAUCUCAUUUGCAGGCAAGCACACCCAAUGCUUGUGAUUUUUAUCUCAUACAUACAAGCCUUUCACAUUUUAUUGGAACUAAACCAAUGUAGUUUGUUGGAGGGUCCUUCAUGGAACUUGAUGGUUUAUAAUUUCUGACUUCAAAUUUGGCUCGUAGGCAAUUCAAGACUCGAGAACAUAAGAUACAGAUAAU